AGUGAACGCUGGCGGCAGGCCUAACACAUGCAAGUCGAGCGGCAGCGCGUCCGACCACCCUCGGGUGGUCGGAUGGCGGCGAGCGGCGGACGGGUGAGGAAUGCAUCGGAAUCUGCCUCGUUGUGGGGGAUAACGUAGGGAAACUUACGCUAAUACCGCAUACGACCUACGGGUGAAAGUGGGGGACCUUCGGGCCUCACGCGAUGAGAUGAGCCGAUGCCGGAUUAGCUAGUUGGCGGGGUAAAGGCUCACCAAGGCGACGAUCCCUAGCUGGUCUGAGAGGAUGAUCAGCCGCACUGGAACUGAGACACGGUCCAGACUCCUACGGGAGGCAGCAGUGGGGAAUAUUGGACAAUGGGCGAAAGCCUGAUCCAGCCAUGCCGCGUGUGUGAAGAAGGC
rnacentral:rRNA from 1 species